UCCCACAUCAAAGUUCCUACUGUCACGCGAGGCAGGAUUUUGUGGAUCACUUUUUUGACCCAAGUUGAAAUUUAGGCACUUAAAUCCUUUUUUGGAUCUGGUCCAGUGUGCCCUAAGAAAUGCUAGACAGGAGAAAGAUCUGCACUCAGACAUUAAAGCAGUGGCCAGGGGUGAUUUUGAACCUCUUACGCCUCUCUCCCUCCCCCAAUCCCUAGGCUCACUCAGGGGAAGCUACAAGCAGGCUCUUAACAUUUUUAAAUGAAUUAAGAUUUGGUUACUCAGUAACGAGACAUAAGCAAACAUGAAACUGUUCUACCAUGUAAGUUAACCUUCCCAAAGUUACCCUUCUUUCAGGGAAAGACAAUUCUCUUCAAGGUUUAUGGAAACAGUUGUUGGAAAUUGAUUAUAAUACUAAGCUUGCUAGUUUGAAACCAGCGAGCCAGGGCAUAUGUUUGACUCCCUGUUCUCUAAAUCGUGAGCCAUAAAGACACAAGACAUGCUAAGAUGACAAACUGAUAUUCACCUCAGUGUUCUUGCAUAGCUGAGACAAAUGCGGACAAAAAAGGGUCCCAAUCCUGCACAUCUACUCAAGUAGCCCCGCUGAACCCAACAGGAUUACUCAGGAUGUAAGACUUCUAUAGCAACCAAGGCUUGCCAGAAUCAGCUUCUUGCACUGUGCCCCUUACUACUAAUCGCACAUAAAACUUGCCAGCUAACAUGAUUUGCUUGACACCUGCUAUUCCACUUGCUCCCCCAUCUCUCAACCUUUCUCCUUUCAGUUCUUUCACUGCUCUAUGUUUUCUAGCAAGUACUUGUACUUCUACACAGUGCAGUAAAGUGACAGAUUUCUGAGGUCACUUUAAAACUGUUAAGAGAAGGGAAAUAAUUGUCUACAGCACAUAGAGGUAAAAGUCUGCAGCAGCAUUCAACUUUCAGGAGUAUUUGUACCCUUCGGGCAUUGACUCAACAUUUUUAGACAACAAGAAUACGAAUAACUCGAGUUAGGGUUGCUUCUGUAUUUUCAAUAUAAAUUACUUUUGAGGAUCCAGUCACUCAGAUGUCGUCACGUUCACGCUGAGCUAAUAAACUGGUUUACACGUUAUAGGCAGCAAUGCUUUUCUUCCCUUGUAACAGCUUUUAAAGACUUUUACUUAAUGAUACAAUAAACUGGGUUAACAGCUUGA